rnacentral:rRNA from 1 species
AACGUACGCUGGCGGCACGCCUAACACAUGCAAGUCGAACGAAGUAGCAAUACUUAGUGGCAGACGGGUGAGUAACAUGUAGGUAUCUACCCUUUGGCCUGGAAUAACACGAGGAAACUUGUGCUAAUACCGGAUAAGUCUUUACGGAGAAAGCUUUAUGCACCAUUGGAUGAGCCUGCACUUGAUUAGUUUGUUGGUGGGGUAAUGGCCUACCAAGACUGUGAUCAAUAGCUGAUUUGAGAGGAUGAUCAGCCACAUUGGGACUGAGACACGGCCCAAACUCCUACGGGAGGCAGCAGUGGGGAAUCUUGCACAAUGGAGGAAACUCUGAUGCAGCGAUGCCGCGUGAGUGAAGAAGGCCCUUGGGUUGUAAAGCUCUUUCGUCGGGGAAGAAAAUGACUGUACCCGAAUAAGAAGGUCCGGCUAACUUCGUGCCAGCAGCCGCGGUAAUACGAAGGGACCUAGCGUAGUUCGGAAUUACUGGGCUUAAAGAGUUCGUAGGUGGUUGAAAAAGUUAGUGGUGAAAUCCCAGAGCUUAACUCUGGAACUGCCAUUAAAACUUUUCAGCUAGAGUAUGAUAGAGGAAAGCAGAAUUUCUAGUGUAGAGGUGAAAUUCGUAGAUAUUAGAAAGAAUACCAAUUGCGAAGGCAGCUUUCUGGAUCAUUACUGACACUGAGGAACGAAAGCAUGGGUAGCGAAGAGGAUUAGAUACCCUCGUAGUCCAUGCCGUAAACGAUGUGUGUUAGACGUUGGAAAUUUAUUUUCAGUGUCGCAGCGAAAGCGAUAAACACACCGCCUGGGGAGUACGACCGCAAGGUUAAAACUCAAAUGAAUUGACGGGGACCCGCACAAGUAGUGGAGCAUGUGGUUUAAUUCGAAGAUACGCGCAGAACCUUACCAACACUUGACAUGUUCGUCGCGACUCUAAGAGAUUAGAGUUUUCGGUUCGGCCGGACGAAACACAGGUGCUGCAUGGCUGUCGUCAGCUCGUGUCGUGAGAUGUUGGGUUAAGUCCCGCAACGAGCGCAACCCUCACUUUUAGUUGCCAUCAUUAAGUUGGGCACUCUGAAAGAACUGCCUGUGAUAAGCUGGAGGAAGGUGGGGAUGACGUCAAGUCCUCAUGGCCCUUACGUGUUGGGCUACACACGUGCUACAAUGGUAUCUACAACAGGAAGCAAGACUGCGAGGUCAAGCAAAUCCUUAAAAGAUACCUCAGUUCGGAUUGCACUCUGCAACUCGAGUGCAUGAAGCUGGAAUUACUAGUAAUCGUCGGUCAGCAUACGGCGGUGAAUACGUUCCCGGGCCUUGUACACACCGCCCGUCACACCAUGGGAGUUGGCUUU